UUUUAAUUCUUUUACCAUUAUCAGCAUGAGUGUUUGAUGCAUCACAAAGGAGAGGAAUUCAUUGUCUGACUUCGAUGGUUUUGGGCCUCCUGGCUCUGGUGACACCUGCUCCAAGCCUUGUCAAAGAGGAGGACUUGGCAUAUAACUGAGAUCUGGAAACAGUUCAAAACUGGACCUAGCUUGGAAUUGUGUAUCGUGUGACCUUUAGAAAGCAGAGGAGCUUUCCACACAACUAAAUGCUCUAUUACUGCAGACAAUUGAGAACUGUCACAACAGUCCUGACAUCUGACAUGUGGAGGUGGCAAAGUAGAUGGAAAAUGAGAAGUGUGCAGAUUCUGGAUAUAUCUUAAAGAGAUGGCUAACAGGUUUGUUUAAAGAAGGAAUGUGUGA
rnacentral:lncRNA from 1 species